CUGGAAGGGGCCAUCAAUAUACUUCCCUGGAGUUUGAAACUUUUCUAGCCGAGAGGAACAUUUUACACAGAAGGUCAUCCCUAUAUUACCCUCAAGCCAGUGGGGAAAUCGAAUGGUUUAACAGCAGUUUGAAAGAGAGUUUGCAAACAACUAAACUGGAAGGGCGACUGUGGAUACCCUUCACUACUGAUUUCUUGCAAGCAUACCGGGCUACACGACAUGCCACAA